UAGUUGUAAUGGUUGUAAUGAAGAUAUACAUGUCUGGCCCUUUGCUAGAGUUAUAUGCAGAUACUAUGUUGAAGUACACAGCUGUAUGAUUAAAGAAAGGAACUAGCCUGGGUUGUAUUUGCUCUUUCCACUUGACUCUGGCAUCCCAAAUGGAGCCUGAGGUUUUUCCUCACCAGUGCUGAAGCGGGGCCUCCCAUUUUACCUGAAAACCAGGACAAGAUUCCCCACUGAAAGUUUUACUAAGGCAGCUGUAAACCACCAUAAACUUAUCUCUGCCUAGAGCUGCACCCCAUCAGCUACAUCAGUCUUCAAGCUGGUCUGACUGAAAACUCUUGAUCCUGUGCAUUUAUAUCAGAUCUGAGAUGCCAUACAAUGGAGUGACUGCAGGGGGAGAGCCAACAACAGGAGCUAUCCUGUAGUUCAUUAAUUAACUAUAAAUCUAUUUUACUUCCAAAGUAUUUAGGUCCUGUCUCUGACUUCCACCUUUUUGGAAGGAUAAAAAGGAUGGGCACUCAUGAUUCCCAGCCCCAGCUGCAAAAUAA